GUAAUCGCAUAGCUCCUCGUAAAAUUAAGGUUUAAUUUCACUUGUGUUUUCAAAGAUUCACAAAUUCUCGGACAAUUUGUGAAACUUUGAAAACACGCGUGAAAUUAAACCUUAAUUUUACUCGGCCCCAUGCGAUUAC